rnacentral:rRNA from 1 species
GUGCAGCAGUCGCGAAAACUCCGCAAUACGCGAAAGCGUGACGGGGCUACCCCGAGUGUCGUCCGCUGAGGACGACUUUUCCACGCUGUAAGGAGGCGUGGGAAUAAGGGGAGGGCAAGUCUGGUGUCAGCCGCCGCGGUAAUACCAGCUCCCCGAGUGGUUGGGACGAUUAUUGGGUCUAAAGCGUCCGUAGCCGGCUGAGGAAGUUCUCCGUUAAAUCCAACGAUUCAAUCGUUGGGCUGCGGGGAAUACUCCUCAGCUUGGGGGCGGGGGAUGUCGGCGGUAUUUCCGGGGUAGGGGCGAAAUCCUAUAAUCCCGGAAGGACCACCAGUGGCGAAGGCGGCCGACAAAAACGCGCCCGACGGUGAGGGACGAAAGCUGGGGGAGCGAUCGGGAUUAGAUACCCCGGUAGUCC